rnacentral:rRNA from 1 species
CCUUUGACGUUAGCGGCGGACGGGUGAGUAACACGUGGGUAACCUACCUAUAAGACUGGGAUAACUUCGGGAAACCGGAGCUAAUACCGGAUAAUAUUUCGAACCGCAUAGUUCGAUAGUGAAAGGUGGUUUUGCUAUCACUUAUAGAUGGACCCGCGCCGUAUUAGCUAGUUGGUAAGGUAACGGCUUACCAAGGCGACGAUACGUAGCCGACCUGAGAGGGUGAUCGGCCACACUGGAACUGAGACACGGUCCAGACUCCUACGGGAGGCAGCAGGC